rnacentral:lncRNA from 1 species
CCCUUGCUCUGUGUGUCAAUAUCUCAUCAAACAUUCCCCUAGGAUAAUAUUUGCACACUUUUUUGUAACUACUUGGCCAAAUAUACUUGUUCCUCAUAGAUGGGGGCCUCCACAAAGGUAGAAACCGUCAUACUCAUGCCUCACACAUAGUAGGUACUUAAGAAUUAUGAAUUGAACAAAUAAAUAAAUGAACAUAAUUGACAAGAAACUGAAAGUAAAACAGCCUAAACAACUUACUUUCCCAGUAUGAAAUGCUUAUAAAAAACAGACUCCUAUCUUUAUUUUAGAGCCCAUUCAUUCAGAAUUUAUGAAAUACACUUUUUGAAGGAAUACAAAAAUACAAUACCUUUUAAAAUUGCACCCCAAAAAAAUCAAAUAAACCUGACCAAGGAUAUGAAAGACUUAUAUACUGAGAACUAUAAAACAUAAUCAAAGAAAUUAAAGAGGAUUCAAAGAAACUGAAAGAUAUUCCAUGCUCCUGGGUUGGAAAAAUUAAUAUUGUGAAAAUGGCCAUACUACUGAAAGCAAUCUACAGAUUCAAUGCAAUCCCUAUCAAGUUACCCAUGAGAUUUUUCACAGAACUAGAACAAACCAUCCAAAAAUUUAUAUGGAACCACCAAAGACCCAGAAUUGCCAAAGCAAUCCUGAGGAACAAAAACCAAGCAGGAGGCAUAACUCUCCCAGAUUUCAGACAAUAUUACAAAGCCACAGUCAUCAAGACAGUGUGGUAAUAGUACAAAAACAGACAGACAGACCAAUGGAACAGAAUAGAGAACCCAGAAAUAACGCAGACACCCAUAGUCAAUUAAUCUUUGACAAAGGAGACAAGAACAUAAAAUGUGAAAAAGACAGUCUUUUCAGCAAGUGAUGCUGGGAAAACUGGACAGCCACAUGUAAAUCAUUGAAACUGAAACACACCCUCACACCAUGCACAAAAAUAAACUCAAAAUGGCUUAAAGACUUAAACAUUUAAGACAAGACACCCAAACUGCUAGAAGAGAACAUAGGCAAAACAUUCUCUGAUAUCAACCCUACAAAUGUUUUCUCAGGUUAGUCUCCCAAAGCAACAGAAAAAAAGGCAAAAAUAAACCAAUGGGACCUAAUCAAACUGAAAAGCUUUGCACAGCAAAGGAAACCAAAAAGAAAACAAAAAGACAAUUCACAGAAUGGGGGAAAAUAGUUUCAAAUGAUGCAACUGACAAGGGCUUAAUCUCUAAAAUAUACAAACAACUUAUACAACUCAACAGCAAAAAAGCCAAUCACCCAAUGGAAAAAUGGGCAAAAGACCUGAACAGACAUUUCUCCAAAGAAAAGAUACAGAUGGCCAACUAGCACAUGAAAAAAUGCUCAACAUCACUGAUUAUUAGAGAAAUGAGAAUCAAAACUACCAUGAGGUACCACCUCACACCAGUCAGAAUGGCCAUCAUUAGUAAGUCCACAAAUAUCAAAUGCUGGAAAGGGUGUGGAGAAAAGGGAACCCUCCUGUACUAUUGGUGGGAAUGUAAAUUGGUAGAGCCACUAUGGAAACAGUAUGGAGCUACCUUAGAAAACUACACAUAGAACUACCGUAUGACCCAGCAAUCCCAUUCCUGGGCAUAUAUCCGGACAAAACUUUCCUUGAAAAAGACACAUGCACCCACAUGUUCACUGCAGCACUAUUCACAAUAGCCAAGACUUGGAAACAACCUAAAUGUCCAUUGAGAGAUGAUUGAAUUAAGACGAUGUGGUGUAUAUAUACACAGUGGAAUAAUACUCAGCCAUAAAAAAGAACAAAAUAAUGCCAUUUGCAGCAACAUGGAUGGAACUAGAAACUCUCAUACUAAGUGAAGUAAGUAAGAAAAACAAAUACCAUAUGAUAUCACUUACAUCUGGAAUCUAAUAUAUGGCACAAAUGAACCUUUCCACAGAAGAGAAAAUCAUGGACAUGGAGAACCAGAUUUGUGGUUGCCGAGGGGGAGGGGGAGGAUUUGGGAUGGACUGAGAAUUUGGGGUUAAUAGAUGCAAACUAUCGCCUUUGGAAUGGAUAAGCAAUGAGAUCCUGCUCUAUAGCACUGGGAACUAUAUCUAGUCACUUAUGAUAGAGCAUGAUAAUGUGAGAAAAAAGAAUGUAUACAUGUAUGUGUGACUAGGUCACCUUGCUGUAUGGUAGAAAAUUGACAGAACACUGUGAACCAGCUAUAAUGGAAAAAAAUGAAAAUCAUUAUUUAAAAAAGAAAUAUAACUUUUGAUUAGACUGUAUUUUAUGCACUUGUAGCAUCUGUGAAGAAGAGCUAACAAGAUGGGACAGAUUUUAUUGAUCUGACAGCAAUUUGGCAAGCAUCCAUUUAUAUACUAUUGGUAAGCUAAAUUAUCACUUAUGUUUAAACAGCAGAUCAAAUACUAUGAAGUUCUACGUACAUACAGAGAAUUUUGACUAGUAAGGUUCCAUCCUAUAAUGAGAAGAGAUAACAUUUCAUUUCUUUAAAUAAAAUAAAAUUCUAAUUAAGCCUCUCCAUAACUGAGAUUGGUCUGCCCUCUGAGGAGUCAAUUUGGAGAAUUUUUAUUAUAAGUAAUAAGAAGAAUGACACUUUCAGUGGGAAGCAAACCAACACUUUGGUACCUUGAAGAAUUGAAGCUUCUCCUUCUUAAGUUCAUGAGUAAGCUCAUAACAACUGUCAAUACCUGUUUCAUAUUUUGGAGCCUUGAGCUCCAAUGACCAGAAUAUGUGGACAAACAAAAGUUGUCAAGUUCCAUCCUGGUGAUGUGACAUGUUUUUCUGUAAGACUUCAAACACUCCUAUCCUUUAUGAGUUAGGAUCCCAGCUAGAUACAGAUGGCACAUUCAGACUGGAUAACUGAGGCGAGCUUAAUAAAGGCACUUCUUUACAAAGUCAUGAUCAGAGUAAAGAAAAACCAACAGGGAUGGUGAAGUACCAGAGGUUAACAGUGUGGGAAGACUGGCCAUCACCCCACUUCUUCCAGAAGGAGAAAGGGGAAAGGAGUGAUUCUCAAAAUUACAGCUGUAGGACAAGGCUGCAGGCAGGGGCUGUGGUUUUCAGAGAAGGAAAGCAGCCUCUGCCCAUCCACAUCCCUGCAAGAAAGGAAACUAUGGAAUAAAUAUGCCGAUCUCCCUCUCCUUUCACCUUUUGGUCUCCUGCUGGUGCCUCCCAUUAAUCCAACUCAACAAGAAGCCAAAGGGCAAGAGAAAAUAGUUGAUGCAGACCACAGAGACUGCCCUCCUAGGGCACAAAGCAGUGGAGGAAGGGUGGAGGGUGGAUUUGAUGGGUGAGAUGGAGAAUAUCCCAUGAAUACCCUUUCUAAAACUCUUCCACUGUGAAGUAUUUAUAACAUCAUUCAUGGGUUUAUUUCGCAAUACAUAUUCCUAGGAAUUGGUUGAGAAAAGAUAUGUAUAACAACACAUUUUCCAAUGAAAAUGACAUGUGAUGGUUCCUAAUAUUGCUUUCAUAGGAAUGCAAGAUUCACUGAUUAUUUCACUCAAAGAUAUGGUAAAGGCAAUUGUUUUAUCUCCUUGAAACCUUGAAAUGAACCAAAAGAAAAAUUAGGAGUUCCCGUUGUGGCUCAGUGGUUAACAAAUCUGACUAGGAACCAUGAGGUUGCAGGUCCAAUCCCUGGCCUUGUUCCGUGGGUUUAAGGAUCCGGCAUUGCCAUGAGCUGCGGUGUACGUCGCAGAUUUGACUCGGAUUCCACAUUGCUGUGGCUCUGGUGUAGGCCGGUAGCUAUAGCUCUGAUUAGACCCCUAGCCUGGGAACCUCCAUAUGCUAUGGGAAUGGCCCAAGAAAUGGCAAAAAGACCAAAAAAAAAAAAAGAAAAAUUAGAAAGCAAUGUCAAAAUUACAAACAACCCAGUCAAAAAGUGGGCAGGAGGAGUUCCUGUUGUGGCUCAGUGGGUUAAGAACCCAACUAGGGAGUUCCUCUCAUGGCUCAGUUGAAACAAAUUUGACCAGCAUUCAUGAGGAUGCAGUUUAAUCCCUGUCCUCACUCAGUGGGUCAAGGAUCUGGCCUUGCCAUGAGCUGUGGUGUAGGUCAC